UUGUAUAAUCCUAUACUAUUUAUCCUUGAUUGCACCCUCGCAGCUUAUGGGGGCUCGCGUUGGGUUAUUUAUUUAAUUCACGCCUUCUGGCUUAUUAGGGCUAGUUAUGUAGAGAAAGUCAUGCUUUUUGUUAUUAUUAUUAUAUGGGUUGUUUACUUUUAGUAUUUGAGGCUUUAUUCCAGGUUUUUCCUCUUACCAUGAUUUAGCUUAUUUACUUUAGCAUUUAAUUAUAUUUAUAUUAUGAUUUAGCUUAGUCGAAUGAUGAUGUCUACUGAGUACCCGUUGUCAUACCCAAUUUUUAUCUAAGGUCAAAAUGAGCACGACAAUAUGGACUCUAAAAGAAUAAAUUUUGUAUAGAUUCACCACCUAAUUUUUAAGGAAAAAUAGGAAACCAACUUAUUUAUGAAGCAUGACUCUAUUCUAAUAUACGAAACCAAUUUAGAUCCUAAGUAAGAGUUCAAAUUAUUCCAAAGGAAAGGUAUUAGACACCCUUCAAAAUCCACAAAUAUGGUUUUCGAUCAAACUUAGAUUUAUUAAACGAUGAAGAAAAAAAUUAAUAUUUAUAAAUACAAAUAUAAAACAUGUAUUAAGAUGUUAUAAACAAUUUAUAUGUAAAGAAUGUGUAAGUUAUAUAUUUUAUCAUAAAAUUAUGUGUAUAAGAAGUGUAUUAAGAUAAACGAAAGUAUAUAAAAACAUGUAUGAAAAGAAAAGAUUAAAUAAAGAAAAACUUGUUUUAAAGAAAAAGAAUACAUAAUAUUCUUUAGCGAAAAAAGUAUGAGUUAUUUGAUUAAAUAUUUAAAUCAAUUUUAACAUAAAUAUUAACGGCCUAAAUUUGCCUAAACACGUGAUGGAUACUGUGUAAGUAAAACAUUCCGCCCAACAUCCCAAAUAUAAAUAUUUCACUAUAAUUAAUAUUUUGUACACUUACAGGAAUAUUAAGAAAAUAUAAAUACAAAAGUCACUUCUUUCUUCAAUGUCUUUCCGAUAUGUAUUUUCGAGAACCUGUACAAACACUUGCGAUAGAAAGAUUAGUAACAAAUAAAUAAUUACCCAAAUAAAAUAAAAUCAUGUGUGCAUAUAUAUAUAUAUAUAAAGAGAGAAUUUUUAUUAAAAGUGUGGGCUCGAAUCAAAUUUUAGGUACGUCAUGGCUAAAAAAUAGUUGCUCAGUUUAUUAGCCAUCCUAAAUUGUCUUGCCAAAAUACGAAUCAUAAAAAACUUUGCGUUGUUAUAAAAAUUUCAUCAUUGUCCAAAAUUAUUUAUUUUAUUGCAUAUUUUUACAUAAUAUCCAUCUUUUUAUUUGUAAAGGCCUAAAAAAUCGAUAAAAUUUCUUUUAUCGGACAAUUAAAUUAAUACUGAAUAUAGAAGAAACAAUCAAAUACGAGUAAUUAAAUAAUAAAAAUAAAAAGAUAAAAAUAAAAUAUGUCUUAUGUCUUUUGUCUUGGGGAGAUAUCAAAGAUUAACGGAGAAGUUUUAUCAUUAUUCAAUUAAUUUAUUAAUAUCUAGAAUAAAAUAAAACCAAAACAUGCAAUUAAAAUAGUCUAAACUUGGACCCAAAUUAAAAAAUGCAAUUUCUGAAAAAAAAAAAAACUAAAUAAAUUGUGAUGGUGAAUCAAAACAAGUAUAAAACAAAGCAACAAUGAACAAAGAUUACAAAAUAAUCACAUGGAGUCACUAAAUUCACAUGGAAUCAUCAAGUGCACAAGGUUUAAUCUUAAAUAAACAUUAACUGUGAGGAGUAAAACAUUGGAGAACAAAAUCAAUAUGUCCAACAGAAAAAUCAAGAAAAAAGAUCAGGCAGCCAUGAAAACAAACAUACAUAGAUUACCGGAGAGAAAUUCAAGCAAAAUCAAUCCAAAAUUAAUAAAACAAUGUAAAGAUAGUCCAAGAUAACAAUGGCAAUACUUGAAAUUUAUUUCCGCAAAACACACAAAUAAUGGUAAAGUGAAAAGAAGAAGAUUUCACCGGGGUUUAAGUUUUUCCGGUAGCAUGGUCAUGGUUUCCGGCCAAAUCUGAAAAUAAACAGAAAAAAAAAUAAUAGCAGUCAAAAGGGAAUGGAUCACCGGUGUUGCUUCAACGGAUAUCACCGGAGCAACACCGGAGUGGCAUUUUCGGCCAGAUCUGCCCAUUUUCCGGCGAGCAACGACGGUGGUAGCAGUGUUGCGUUGAAGCUCGAACCUUUCCGGUCACUACCUCUGGCGAGACAACGACGGGAGACGACAGAAAGAGAGGAAGCUGGGGCGGCAGAUGGUUUUUGUUGGUGGCUGAAACUCGCCCGCCGGUGAUCAACUCCGGUGAGGCACAACACAGUAGAGAAAAAGGGCCGAUGUUUGUGUGUAUGUACGGUGUAUUGUAUGUUUGUGAGAGAAACAAAAUCUGUGAGCGGGUGAUUGUAAAGUGUGUAUAAAAAGUGUUAAUGAAAAAAAAAAAUAAACCCCAUCUAUUUAUAAUAAAAAAAAGAAUAUCCUUUUAUCUAAAAAAUAAUAAACUAUCCCUUCUUGUCUCUUUAGUACAUACUUUAAAUCAUUAGAUAUUAUCCAAUAAUUUCACUCUUUUAAUCAUCAGGUAAAGAUUUUUUAUUUAACAGAUAAAAACAUCAACCCAUCAUCUCAAAUGUCAUUUUUUUAAAAAUGACGAGAUUUUAACUUAAUUAAUUUAUUACUUUAUGUAUUAAAAUAAUCAAGCCGAUUUAAGUUUACACAUUGCAUUAAAUAAUGUACAAAAAAAUAUAAAUGUCUAUAUGAUUACAGAAAAAUACAAAUAAUAAAUAUAAUAAAAUAAUAUUAAAAAAUAUAUUAUGCUAUAAAUAAUUAAAAUUAUAAUGUGCGAUAAAAAAUGAAACACUAUGCUAUGUACGAAUGCAAAUAACAGUGCAAAAAAUUUAAGAUGAUAAUAAACUGAUAAAAAAUUUAAAAUUUACAAAACUAAGGAUAAUUAUGAAUAAAUUAUGCACAAUUAAAAUAUGACAAUAAUUUGACAAAAUAUUCUAAAAAAAUAAUAAUUAUCAAUAAUUUGUUUAAAAUGUAUGAAAAGUUACAUUUUGUGCACUUUAACGAUCAGGGAGACUAAAUGCGUUAAUUUUGAGUUUGGAGAGCUAAAAUUGGGUGUCAACAGUUUGUUCCUUUUCGUUUGAAGAUAAUACAGAAGUCUUCAAACAAAAACAUUGACGUGUAGCCAAUUUUGCCCGACAAAAAUUAUUUUUGAUAAAAUUCAAACGAAUUCCAAUUUAGAGUUGUUUACAUAGUUCGAGUUGCAUGAAGAUCAAGUCGGGUAUAGCUCAAAAGUUAUUCCAACAUAUCCUAUUUUAGGUUGGACCAAAUCAAUGCUUCCUCGAAUUCUAGGCUUGCAAAAUUUAUAAAACUGAAAAACAGUAGACAAGCAUGCAAAUGAUAUGUAGUGCUUAACUAAAUUAAAGAUAAACAAAUAAAGGCAUUGCAAGAUUUCAACUAAAGACAAAUAAAAUAUUCAAUUGAAGACAGACAUGCAUUAAAAGUUUUAUUAACGUGCAGACUAACCCAAAAUGUCCUAUUUUAGGGUGGACGUACCCAAAUUAUCCACAAAUUAUAUGCUUGCAAAUGUAUCAAACUAAGAAGUACUAUUCAAUAACAUAAACGAAAAAUUAAGCUUGAUUUUUUUAAGAAAUUAAAAAUAGCAUGCAGUACUUAAUUAAUUAAGAAAAAAUGGUACAAGCAAAGAUAACAUCCAGUGCUUAAAUGUUAAAGUAAGUGUAUUGCGAUAUGUGCAGGUAAAAAUAUCCAUCUUUUUAUUUGUAAGGGCCUAAAAAAUCGAUAAAAUUUCUUUUAUCGGACAAUUAAAUUAAUACUGAAUAUAGAAGAAACAAUCAAAUACGAGUAAUUAAAUAAUAAAAAUAAAAAGAUAAAAAUAAAAUAUGUCUUAUGUCUUUUGUCUUGGGGAGAUAUCAAAGAUUAACGGAGAAGUUUUAUCAUUAUUCAAUUAAUUUAUUAAUAUCUAGAAUAAAAUAAAACCAAAACAUGCAAUUAAAAUAGUCUAAACUUGGACCCAAAUUAAAAAAUGCAAUUUCUGAAAAAAAAAAAAACUAAAUAAAUUGUGAUGGUGAAUCAAAACAAGUAUAAAACAAAGCAACAAUGAACAAAGAUUACAAAAUAAUCACAUGGAGUCACUAAAUUCACAUGGAAUCAUCAAGUGCACAAGGUUUAAUCUUAAAUAAACAUUAACUGUGAGGAGUAAAACAUUGGAGAACAAAAUCAAUAUGUCCAACAGAAAAAUCAAGAAAAAAGAUCAGGCAGCCAUGAAAACAAACAUACAUAGAUUACCGGAGAGAAAUUCAAGCAAAAUCAAUCCAAAAUUAAUAAAACAAUGUAAAGAUAGUCCAAGAUAACAAUGGCAAUACUUGAAAUUUAUUUCCGCAAAACACACAAAUAAUGGUAAAGUGAAAAGAAGAAGAUUUCACCGGGGUUUAAGUUUUUCCGGUAGCAUGGUCAUGGUUUCCGGCCAAAUCUGAAAAUAAACAGAAAAAAAAAUAAUAGCAGUCAAAAGGGAAUGGAUCACCGGUGUUGCUUCAACGGAUAUCACCGGAGCAACACCGGAGUGGCAUUUUCGGCCAGAUCUGCCCAUUUUCCGGCGAGCAACGACGGUGGUAGCAGUGUUGCGUUGAAGCUCGAACCUUUCCGGUCACUACCUCUGGCGAGACAACGACGGGAGACGACAGAAAGAGAGGAAGCUGGGGCGGCAGAUGGUUUUUGUUGGUGGCUGAAACUCGCCCGCCGGUGAUCAACUCCGGUGAGGCACAACACAGUAGAGAAAAAGGGCCGAUGUUUGUGUGUAUGUACGGUGUAUUGUAUGUUUGUGAGAGAAACAAAAUCUGUGAGCGGGUGAUUGUAAAGUGUGUAUAAAAAGUGUUAAUGAAAAAAAAAAAUAAACCCC
rnacentral:lncRNA from 1 species